rnacentral:lncRNA from 1 species
AUGCUUCCAUUACCCACAGUCCUUUGCCAGAUGGAACUGAUGCCCAGGUAACUGGCUCCUCACCUCCUUCGGGCUUAUACCAAGGAUAUAAAACUUGGUACAGAUGCUCAAGCGUUAAUGCUUCAGGGUGUGACUUUUAAUCCAAUGCUGUAGCUGUGACAACAGGGAAAAACGGAGAACAGAGUUGGAGAAGUCCCAAAGUAAUGAAAGAAGUUAUUUACUGUUGCAAAAUCAAACGACUUAAA